rnacentral:lncRNA from 1 species
GAAUGACUAAAAACCCUGAUGUAAAAUCCCAAUUGGGAAGUGCAUAAUCCCAUCAUAGACAAAAUAUAUAACUUUACAAUAAACAUUUUUAUAAGAAUUUGCCCAAAAGAGGGAACACUUACAAUUUAGAAAUUAAAAAAUAAAAAGUAAAAAGCAGACGAAACACAAUACUAUUUCAACAUGAUCCCUGGAUUGGUGGUACUUACAGACCAAGGGCUACCCGCACCCUGUGGCCUUAAGACCAUCAGACAUUCAGUUAAGAAGAUAAUUGUAUAUAUAUAAUAACGUCUUAACUGGAAAUGCUGCAAGAAUAUAUAAGCAGUACCCUAUGAAAAAUGUUAUCUAUAUCCCUUAUAUGAACACAGGAGAAUUAUCUUCUAAGUCCUUAUUUUGAGUUAGCUUUAUAACUAGGAACAUUCACUCCAACUUGAAAAAAAA